GGCGCCUCACUCGGGUGGAGCUGAACAGGAGACAGGUAACCUUGUGCGGCAGACGGGCUCCGUCCAGUGCUGGGAGGCUCGGCGCUUGACACCCGGAGCUCGCGGCCGAGGGUAUUUGUGGAAGGCUUCAGGACAAAAUGUUUCAUUUAAGGACUUGUGCUGCUAAGUUAAGGCCAUUGACAGCCUCCCAGACUGUUAAGACAUUUUCACAAAACAAACCAGCAGCAAUUAGGACGUUUCAACAGAUUCGGUGCUAUUCUGCACCUGUAGCUGCUGAACCAUUUCUUAGUGGGACUAGUUCGAACUAUGUGGAGGAAAUGUACUGUGCCUGGUUGGAGAAUCCCAAAAGUGUACAUAAGUCAUGGGACAUUUUUUUCCGAAACACCAAUGCUGGAGCCCCACCGGGCACUGCCUACCAGAGCCCCCUUUCCCUGAGUCGAAGCUCCCUGGCUACCAUGGCUCAUGCACAGUCCCUGGUGGAAGCACAGCCUAACG
rnacentral:lncRNA from 1 species